UACGUAGGGGGCAAGCGUUGUCCGGAAUUAUUGGGCGUAAAGAGCGUGUAGGCGGUCCGGUAAGUCAGCUGUGAAAGUCAAGGGCUCAACCCUUGAAAGCCGGUUGAUACUGUCGAGCUAGAGUCCGGAAGAGGCGAGUGGAAUUCCCGGUGUAGCGGUGAAAUGCGCAGAUAUCGGGAGGAACACCAAUGGCGAAGGCAGCUCGCUGGGACGGUACUGACGCUGAGACGCGAAAGCGUGGGGAGCAAACAGG
rnacentral:rRNA from 1 species